UACGUAGGUCGCAAGCGUUGUCCGGAUUUACUGGGCGUAAAGAGCGCGCAGGCGGCUGGUCAAGUCCGAUGUGAAAUCUCCCGGCUCAACUGGGAAACUGCAUCGGAAACUGAUCGGCUUGAAGGUGGGAGAGGGUAGUGGAAUUCCCGGUGUAGUGGUGAAAUGCGUAGAUAUCGGGAGGAACACCAGUGGCGAAGGCGACUACCUGGCCCAUUCUUGACGCUGAGGCGCGAAAGCUAGGGGAGCGAACAGGAUUAGA
rnacentral:rRNA from 1 species